UAACUAGAAAAUUUAUGUUGUUUCAUUAAAUCUUUUAUUUCGCAGUGUUAUUCAUAAUCCUACGUUUCGUUUCAGAUUUUAAGUUUCAUUCUUUUUCAAAGUUACAAAUGAGUUUUUUAAAACUCGAAUUACCAGAUUUCCAUAGGAUUUAUAUUAUGUCUAAUACUGUAAAAGGUACUGUUAAGUGGUUUAACGAAACUAAAGGUUUUGGUUUUAUUCAACAAGAAAAUGGUCCAGACGUUUUCGCUCAUUUCAGCGAAAUCAAAAGCUCAGGUUUCAAAACUUUAGCUGAAGGCCAACAAGUUGAAUUCAGCGUUACUCAAGGUCCUAAAGGCCCUAACGCUGUUGAUAUCGUUGCUAUCUAAGACUUUUAGUCUAAGCA
rnacentral:sRNA from 1 species